rnacentral:rRNA from 1 species
ACCCGACUGCUAUCGGAUUGAGAUUAGCCAUGCGAGUCGAACGUCCCCUGUGCGGGGGGCGUGGCGUACGGCUCAGUAACACGUAGUCAACCUGCCCUGGAGACAAGGACAACCCCGGGAAACUGGGAUUAAUCCUUGAUAGGUCAUCUCAUCUGGAAGGAGAGAUGGCUUAAAGGGGUACGCGGGCUUCUUCCGCGAAUUCGCUCCAGGAUGGGACUGCGUCCGAUCAGGCUGUUGGCGGGGUAAUGGCCCACCAAACCUGUAACCGAUACGGGCCUUGAGAGAGGUGGCCCGGAGAUGGACACUGAGAGAAGGGUCCAGGUCCUACGGGGCGCAGCAGGCGCGAAACCUUCGCAAUGCGCGAAAGCGUGACGAGGUUAAUCCGAGUGACUUCCGCUGAGGAGGUCUUUUGUCAGCUGUAAAUAGGCAGGCGAAUAAGGGGAGGGCAAGCCUGGUGUCAGCCGCCGCGGUAAUACCAGCUCCUCGAGUGGUCGGGGCGAUUAUUGGGCCUAAAGCAUCCGUAGCCGGUUCCGUAGGUCCUCUGUUAAAUCCAACCGCUUAACGGUUGACCUGCAGAGGAUACCGCGGGACUAGGAGGCGGGAGAGGCGGACGGUACUCCGCGUGUAGGGGUAAAAUCCUUUGAUCCGCGGAAGACCACCAGUGGCGAAGGCGGUCCGCCAGAACGCGCUCGACGGUGAGGGAUGAAAGCUGGGGGAGCGAACCGGAUUAGAUACCCGGGUAGUCCCAGCCGUAAACGAUGCUAGCUAGAUAAUUCAUUCGCAAGUCGCGAAUGAAGUGUCGCAGGGAAGCCGUUAAGCUAGCCGCCUGGGGAGUACGGUCGCAAGACUGAAACUUAA